UGGGGAAUAUUGGGCAAUGGGGGAAACCCUGACCCAGCAACGCCGCGUGAAGGAAGAAGGCCUUCGGGUUGUAAACUUCUUUUACCAGGGACGAAGAACGUGACGGUACCUGGAGAAAAAGCCACGGCUAACUACGUGCCAGCAGCCGCGGUAAUACGUAGGUGGCAAGCGUUGUCCGGAUUUACUGGGUGUAAAGGGCGUGUAGGCGGAGCUGCAAGUCAGAUGUGAAAUCCCGGGGCUCAACCCCGGAACUGCAUUUGAAACUGUAGCCCUUGAGUAUCGGAGAGGCAGGCGGAAUUCCUAGUGUAGCGGUGAAAUGCGUAGAUAUUAGGAGGAACACCAGUGGCGAAGGCGGCCUGCUGGACGACAACUGACGCUGAGGCGCGAAAGCGUGGGGAGCAAACAGG
rnacentral:rRNA from 1 species